GUGAGCAUAGUUUAAUAAAAACGUUAGAUUGUGAUUCUAAAAACAGGAGUUAAACUCUCCUUGCCCACC
rnacentral:tRNA from 1 species